rnacentral:rRNA from 1 species
UGGGGAAUCUUGGACAAUGGGGGCAACCCUGAUCCAGCGACGCCGCGUGGGUGGUAAGGCCUUCGGGUUGUAAAGCCCUUUCACCGGGGAAGAUGAUGACAUUACCCGGAGAAGAAGCGCCGGCUAACUCCGUGCCAGCAGCCGCGGUAAGACGGAGGGCGCUAGCGUUGUUCGGAAUCACUGGGCGUAAAGGGCGCGUAGGCGGCUGUUUAAGUCGAGGGUGAAAGCCCGGGGCUCAACCCCGGAACGGCCUUCGAGACUGGGCAGCUCGAGACCGGAAGAGGAGGGUGGAAUACCCAGUGUAGAGGUGAAAUUCGUAGAUAUUGGGUGGAACACCAGUGGCGAAAGCGGCUCUCUGGUCCGGAUCUGACGCUGAGGCGCGAAAGCGUGGGGAGCAAACAGGAUUAGAUACCCCCGUAGUCC